rnacentral:rRNA from 1 species
GACGGGACCGCACAAGCGGUGGAUGAUGUGUUUAAUUCGAUGCAACGCGAAAAACCUUACCACCUUUGACAUGGCAGGAAUCCCGAAGAGAUUUUGGGAGUGCUCGCAAGAGAACCGGAACACAGGUGCUGCAUGGCUGUCGUCAGCUCGUGUCGUGAGAUGUUGGGUUAAGUCCCGCAACGAGCGCAACCCUUGUCAUUAGUUGCCAUCAUUUGGUUGGGCACUCUAAUGAGACUGCCGGUGACAAACCGGAGGAAGGUGGGGAUGACGUCAAGUCCUCAUGGCCCUUAUGGGUAGGGCUUCACACGUCAUACAAUGGUCGGUACAGAGGGUUGCCAACCCGCGAGGGGGAGCUAAUCCCACAAAGCCGAUCGUAGUCCGGAUCGCAGUCUGCAACUCGACUGCGUGAAGUCGGAAUCGCUAGUAAUCGUGGAUCAGCAUGUCACGGUGAAUACGUUCCCGGGUCUU